CCCACCAUCUACUACACAAGCACCGUCACAUAGAGAAAUCUCACAACCCAAAUUUUGAGCAAACCCUAAGCAUGGCUCGCUCCCGUGCUAUUUGCAUUUCCUCCGUCCUCUUGCUCUCCCUCUUCCUGACUUGCGCCAAUGCUGCCGCUUUCAAUAUUAGGAACAAUUGCCCCUACACGGUCUGGGCCGCAGCGGUCCCAGGAGGUGGCCGACGGCUUGACCGAGGCCAGUCCUGGAGCCUGAACGUGAGCCCCGGCACGAAACAGGCCCGUAUCUGGGCCCGGACUAACUGCCAGUUUGAUGGGGCCGGGAAGGGCAAGUGCCAGACUGGCGACUGUGGCGGCAUCCUCGAGUGCAAAUCCUUUGGCCAGCCCCCAAACACCCUGGCCGAGUAUGCGCUGAACCAGUUCGGUGGCAAGGACUUCUUUGACAUCUCCCUGGUCGACGGCUUCAAUGUCCCCAUGGACUUCAGUCCGACCUCCAAUGGGUGCACCCGUGGGAUCAAGUGCACAGCCGACAUCAAUGGCCAGUGCCCUGCCCAGCUGAAGGCGCCCGGCGGUUGCAACAACCCCUGCACCGUGUUCAAGACCGACCAAGAUCAAGUUGCAACUCGGAAGCUGCGGACCCACGAAUUUCUCCAAGUUCUUCAAGGAUAGGUGCCCAGAUGCUUACAGUUACCCUAAGGAUGAUCAGACCAGCACCUUCACCUGCCCUAGUGGAACCAACUACAGGGUCGUGUUCUGCCCUUGAAGUAUGAGCGGGAUCGUAGGGAAUACUCCAUAGGAAACUCUAUGUCAAAUUAAUGGUGCUCAAGUUAGUUUGAGCUACCGUACUUGCAUGAGUGUAUUGCCUCAAUCUCCUCUAUGCAUGCAGCUGAGGCAAGAACAAAAGUUUAAGGAGUUGAAUAAAUGAACAUCUAUAUGCGCUCUUAAUCAGCAAUUCAUGUCUUUUUAGCAUA